rfam:Clostridiales bacterium 42_27 Ley3_66761_scaffold_902, whole genome shotgun sequence.
GUUGGUGUUGAUGACGCUGAGGGUCCACCUGUUCCCAUACCGAACACAGAAGUUAAGCUCAGUGGUGCCGAAGAUACUUGGCUGGUGACGGCCCGGAAAAAUAGGGAGAUGCCAACA